rnacentral:rRNA from 1 species
UGGGGGAUAUUGCACAAUGGGCGAAAGCCUGAUGCAGCGACGCCGCGUGGGGGAUGAAGGCCUUCGGGUUGUAAACUUCUUUUGCUCUGAACAAGGCAUGCUUUGGGGUGUGUUGAGUGUAGGGGUUGAUUAGCGCCGGCUAACUACGUGCCAGCAGCCGCGGUAAUACGUAGGGCGCGAGCGUUGUCCGGAAUUAUUGGGCGUAAAGGGCUUGUAGGUGGCUGGUUGCGUCUGUCGUGAAAGCUCAUGGCUUAACUGUGGGUUUGCGGUGGGUACGGGCUGGCUUGAGUGCAGUAGGGGAGGCUGGAAUUCCUGGUGUAGCGGUGGAAUGCGCAGAUAUCAGGAGGAAUACCGGUGGCGAAGGCGGGUCUCUGGGCUGUUACUGACGCUGAGGAGCGAAAGCGUGGGGAGCGAACAGG